CAGCCGUAAACGAUGCGCGUUAGGUGUAUCGACGACCACGAGUCGUCGAGGUGCCGAAGGGAAACCGUGAAACGUGCCGCCUGGGAAGUACGGUCGCAAGGCUGAAACUUAAAGGAAUUGGCGGGGGGAGGCACCACAACAGGUGGAGCCUGCGGUUUAAUUGGACUCAACGCCGGAAAUCUCACCGGAUAAGACAGCAGAAUGAUUGCCGGGCUGAAGACUCUGCAUGACUAGCUGAGAGGAGGUGCAUGGCGUAGUCGUGU
rnacentral:rRNA from 1 species